rnacentral:lncRNA from 1 species
AAAUUAAGGUCGGAAGAGUGGCAGGGGAGGACUGAGGAUCAGUAUUGUAGCUGGGGAGGGGGAUGGCUAGGGAUGAAUCUUGCCCACCGAUGAUACCCUGACAUUCUUGCCUGGACAGGGUUAUUUGGAGGGAAAAGGGAGGUGCAAGGAUGCAAGGCAGAGAAUGCUUACCCCAUGAUUCUACGCUCCGAGUAAGCCUUUCGCUUGUUGGUGAAGGGAGCAGCAAAUCCCAUGAAGGAACGGCUCGAAGGUAAGCCAGCCUCAGCCGCCAAGAUCUGGGCAGCCCGAGGCAAGAGGAGGCUGCAGGAGGUCAGAAACCUAAGGCCAAAGGAAAGAGGAGCCAACCGUAUAGUUCUUCGUAAUCCUCUAUCAUUUGUAGGUGAAGGAGAAGAAGAGUGCAUCCCAGACGAAGGUCGUCCAAACAAGCUUUCCCCCCAGCACCUGCUGCAGCCCGCUAGGCUCUCUCUGGCCAGGGAGUCACGAGUGCAAAAGGUCGAGGGCAGCUAAGGACAGGGCUGGGGGCGGGGUGAGGGGGAUGAGAAAAAGGGGUGUGUGGGAAGCGCCAGUUGCCUUUGACUGGGCCUACACUACUGCUGAAAGCUAAGACUUUAAGGAAGCAUCACUGUCCCCGGGGACCCCAGGGCGCCCGCGAGGGCCAAGAAGAGGUUGGACACUCACCCCGAGAACUUCCCUUCUCGUACAACUUGCAAAAGCAUUAUCCAAAGCUCUACGUUAGCUCCCAGGGCAUGAUUGCUGCCAGUCCCCGCCGCGCCUGCAUCCCAGUAUAGCACCCCUCCACCGCGGAACCCCGGGGUUCGCAGCGACCCCCUGCCCUCAGCCGCGGUCACCUCCCUCUCACCUCAUUGGUCGCGGCGGUGGCAGAGGGCCUGGGGGCGGGGCCGGUUGCGCGCCCGGGCUGAGCGAGAGCCGGCAGCAGCGCUCGG